GACCGCCCACGCCCCGGCCCGCGGCGCGUCCCGGACGUCCACGCUUGCGUUUCUGCGGAUCGUGGGAAUCCUUCUGCGUGGGAGUUUUAGAAAUGCUAACCGAGCUCAGGUUUUGAACAUGUCUGGGACUGUGAAUUGGCUGCCAGAAUGAAUCCUCAGUAACGUCAUGAGAUGGGCUGCUUGUGGUUGUCAAAACUGAUCUUCCCACUGCGGGUGAACACGUACGGCGGAUUGUUAUGGCUUAGGGCGCUUGACUGCACCGCUGUGAAAAUAUUCAGCAGAAUUCCACAAGCUCUUUGUUUGCCUUGCCUUAGUGGAAAUUCCUCCAGCUAUCCAAACACGCACCUGGGGGAGGUGUUUUUUUUUUCCCCCUCCACAUUUCAGGAAGGGGUUUCUUCUAAGUAAAAAUGUGUCCUUACCUCUCUUCUAAGUUCUCAGGCAAGACUUCUGGUUUGAGUUGAAGAUGACUAUGAAUGUGUUCUGGUUGGAAAGGGAGGUGGAGUUGGAGGAGCCGGAGAGGUCUGUAGCAAAUGUUCCUCCAACAGAGCUAAGCUGGGAAAAGGAAAGCCAAUGGAAGCCAACAAAGAAGGAAGCACGAAGCAAGGCUCCCCCAGAUUCCUAGAAGCCCAGGAACACAAAAGCCAGGAAGAUGAAUCGUCUUUUACAGUAGUAGACCUGUAUAUAGGAACGGGGAAGAUUCUAGGGUGAAAGAUCCGGGCUGCCGCUGGUCACCCAGAAGGGAGUAUGUACCUUGAGUUUCGUAACACGGAAUGGAAGUUUGGAGGCCCCUUGAAAAGAACCAAAGCACAAAGGAAGUUGGGCCUGAAGAAGGCUGGGAGACCUCUCACGCAGAGACCCAGGGCUCAGGACAGAGAAAGGAAGGUAGAACGCCAAGUGGAUCUCAUAUUUGCUCUGCGGGCUUCUGGGAAGUGUUUGAAAACAUUCUAUUUAAACUGUGCCUCUUAAGAGAGCUCUCCACUUACAUCUAACUCAGUGUGCUCAUAUUAGCAAAUAGAAAUUAUGGGAACAUUCCAAGUGCUCCCCGCCUUCCUGGUCCUCCCUCCCUGACCCCGAUAGUCUGUCCUGCCUGGAGUCUGGGCGAAUGUUUGUUUCUGAGGGAUGGAAACUGAUUAAAAACUAGAAGGCUGCUUGGGAAAAAUUUUAUAAUAGCAUGUGUGAGGUGAGUUCCACAGAAGGCUAGGGAGGGCAGGAAGGCCCCGUGCAGCCAGGGCUCCAUGCAGGCCAUCUGAAAAAAGAGGCUCCUCUUCCAACCCAGAGCUGUUGUCUUAAUUGUGGUGGAACUGCUUUUCAUAUUCCCUUAGCUUUUUAACACUAAACCAAGAUGAGAAAUUGAGAAAUGAA
rnacentral:lncRNA from 1 species